ACUAUGACAGAACAAAUGGGGGACUCUGAGAUUUCAAACCACUAACCUCUCUAUUUUGAUCAGUAUCAGAAACUUUCUUUUGGAUCAAGGGCUCAAGUGGAUUGAAGAUUGGUCCUUUGGUACUUGCUGGGAGUUACACAUCAAGGAUUCCAGGUUAAGCUUGUAAAGUGCCUUGUGCAAA